GUCUUAGAUAGCUUAACUGGAAGAGCCCUUGGUGCAUAACCAGAAGAUCUGGGUUCAAUUCCCGGUCCGGACU
rnacentral:tRNA from 1 species